AGAGUUUGAUCAUGGCUCAGGACGAACGCUGGCGGCGUGCCUAACACAUGCAAGUCGAGCGGGGAGAAGAAUUCGUUUUUCUCUUUAGCGGCGGACGGGUGAGUAACACGUGGGUAACCUGCCUCAAAGAGGGGGAUAGCCUUCCGAAAGGAAGAUUAAUACCGCAUAAUAUCAGGAAGCUGCAUGGCAUUCUGAUCAAAGGGGCAAUCCGCUUUGAGAUGGACCCGCGGCGCAUUAGCUAGUUGGUGAGGUAACGGCCCACCAAGGCGACGAUGCGUAGCCGACCUGAGAGGGUGAUCGGCCACAUUGGAACUGAGACACGGUCCAGACUCCUACGGGAGGCAGCAGUGGGGAAUAUUGCACAAUGGGGGAAACCCUGAUGCAGCAACGCCGCGUGAGUGAUGAAGGCCUUCGGGUCGUAAAGCUCUUUGAUCAGGGACGAUAAUGACGGUACCUGAAAAACAAGCCACGGCUAACUACGUGCCAGCAGCCGCGGUAAUACGUAGGUGGCGAGCGUUGUCCGGAUUUACUGGGCGUAAAGAAUGCGUAGGUGGAUAUUUAAGUGGGAUGUGAAAUCCCCGGGCUCAACCCGGGAACUGCAUACCAAACUGGAUAUCUGGAGUGCAGGAGAGGAAAGCGGAAUUCCUAGUGUAGCGGUGAAAUGCGUAGAUAUUAGGAGGAACACCAGUGGCGAAGGCGGCUUUCUGGACUGUAACUGACACUGAGGCAUGAAAGCGUGGGGAGCAAACAGGAUUAGAUACCCUGGUAGUCCACGCCGUAAACUAUGGGUACUAGGUGUAGGGGGUAUCGACUCCCCCUGUGCCGCCGUUAACACAAUAAGUACCC
rnacentral:rRNA from 1 species